rnacentral:rRNA from 1 species
UACGUAGGGUGCGAGCGUUGUCCGGAAUUAUUGGGCGUAAAGAGCUUGUAGGUGGUUUGUCGCGUCUGCUGUGAAAAUCCGGGGCUCAACCCCGGACUUGCAGUGGGUACGGGCAGACUAGAGUGUGGUAGGGGAGACUGGAAUUCCUGGUGUAGCGGUGGAAUGCGCAGAUAUCAGGAGGAACACCGAUGGCGAAGGCAGAUCUCUGGGCCGUAACUGACGCUGAGGAGCGAAAGCAUGGGGAGCGAACAGG